GCUGCAAUUCCUGGAGCUGAGAUGAUCUGAAGUCAGGAGCCAAGAGCUUCCUCUGAGUUUCCCAAGGUGGUGUAGGUGCCCAUGGAUUUGAGCCAUCCUCUGCUGCCUUACCAGGUCAUUAGCAGAAAGCUCAGAUUUUAAGACUGUUACAAGAAGCACAGUGCAGAAACCUCAACAAGAAACACACUGUAGUUCAGUUUAAAUACGAAACUAAGAUUCACAAUCUGUACUAAGUACAGAGAAAAACAGAAACAGAGAUUUUCUGUCUGCCAUCUCCCUCCAGAAUUGUUCACAACAGCCAAAGGUGUGUCAAAAAGAAGCCAGAAAUUAGGAACUCCAUCCAGGUCCUGGUAGAUUGCGGCAUCUGAGCCAUCAUCUACUGCCUUCCAAAUUAAUAACAGCUCCAUGUCCUCUUCCUUAAGGUUUAGUCACAGAAGACUUUAAACUGUUUCAGCUUCUUCUGUUCACAACCUCUCUACACUGCAGCAUAGCUAAUGUCAGCCUCUUUUGGCUGGCAGUCUGAGAAAAAAUGCUGAGUAAGGAAGUCACAGAAAAAAAUCUGUAUUGGUGAGACGGCUUUACACGGAGAUGACUUGUAAGCCGUGACUACAUCUGCAUAGCUCCAUUUAUCAACACUGACAAUUCCUGCUCUUCAGCCUGAGCCACCAAGUAAAAAUAUCGUAAAUACAAACUAACUAGGAGCAAAUUUCACCUGUUCUACAAUUUAAAACAAAACUGUCCAUCAGACUGAAAGCUGACCUUCAGUCAUCCUACAGAAAUUUAUAAAAAAAUUUAUUUCUUAUGGUGAAAAUUUUGUGGUUUUG